rnacentral:rRNA from 1 species
AGUGAACGCUGGCGGUAGGCCUAACACAUGCAAGUCGAACGGCAGCACAGUAAGAGCUUGCUCUUACGGGUGGCGAGUGGCGGACGGGUGAGGAAUACAUCGGAAUCUACUUUUUCGUGGGGGAUAACGUAGGGAAACUUACGCUAAUACCGCAUACGACCUACGGGUGAAAGCAGGGGAUCUUCGGACCUUGCGCGAUUGAAUGAGCCGAUGUCGGAUUAGCUAGUUGGCGGGGUAAAGGCCCACCAAGGCGACGAUCCGUAGCUGGUCUGAGAGGAUGGUCCGCCCCACUGGAACUGAGACCCGGUCCAGACUCCUACGGGAGGCAGCGGUGGGGAAUAUUGGACAAUGGGCGCAAGCCUGAUCCAGCCAUACCGCGUGGGUGAAGAAGGCCUUCGGGUUGUAAAGCCCUUUUGUUGGGAAAGAAAAGCAGCAGGUUUAUACCCCGCUGUUCUGACGGUACCCAAAGAAUAAGCACCGGCUAACUUCGU